rnacentral:rRNA from 1 species
CAAUAGCGUAUAUUAAAGUUGUUGCAGUUAAAAAGCUCGUAGUUGGAUUUCUGGUAGGAGCGACCGUGCCGAACUUGAUUGUUCGAGUAUUGUGUUGUCUUCAGCCAUCCUCGUGGAGAACUUUUCUAACAUUAACUUGUUGGGAUUGGGACCCGCGUCGUUUACUGUGGAAAAAUUAGAGUGUUUAAAGCAGGCAUUAGCUUGAAUACAUUAGCAUGGAAUAAUAAGAUAGGACUUUGGUACUAUUUUGUUGGUUUGCAUACCAAAUUAAUGAUCAACAGGAACAGUUUGAGGAUAUUCGUAUGAACAUGUCAGAGGUGAAAUUCUUGGAUUUUGAUCAGGCGAACUACUGCGAAAGCAUUUAUCAAGGAUGUUUUCAUUAA